rnacentral:rRNA from 2 species
GAGAAGGAGCCUGAGAAACGGCUACUACAUCCAAGGAAGGCAGCAGGCGCGCAAAUUACCCAAUCCCGACACGGGGAGGUAGUGACAAUAAAUACUGAUACAGGGCUCUUUUGGGUCUUGUAAUUGGAAUGAGUACAAUUUAAAUCCCUUAACGAGGAACAAUUGGAGGGCAAGUCUGGUGCCAGCAGCCGCGGUAAUUCCAGCUCCAAUAGCGUAUAUUAAAGUUGUUGUGGUUAAAAAGCUCGUAGUUGAACCUUGGGCCUGGCUGGCCGGUCCGCCUCACCGCGUGUACUGGUCCGGCCGGGCCUUUCCCUCUGUGGAACCCCAUGCCCUUCACUGGGUGUGGCGGGGAAACAGGACUUUUACUGUGAAAAAAUUAGAGUGCUCCAGGCAGGCCUAUGCUCGAAUACAUUAGCAUGGAAUAAUAGAAUAGGACGUGUGGUUCUAUUUUGUUGGUUUCUAGGACCGCCGUAAUGAUUAAUAGGGACAGUCGGGGGCAUCAGUAUUCAAUUGUCAGAGGUGAAAUUCUUGGAUUUAUUGAAGACUAACUACUGCGAAAGCAUUUGCCAAGGAUGUUUUCAUUAAUCAGGAACGAAAGUUAGGGGAUCGAAGACGAUCAGAUACCGUCGUAGUCUUAACCAUAAACUAUGCCGACUAGGGAUCGGACGGUGUUAUUUUUUGACC